rnacentral:pre_miRNA from 1 species
UAUGUACCCCCUCCAUUCCAAAAUACUUGACUUCCAUUUGUCCAAAAAUGGAUGUACCUAUAUACUAAAACAUGUCUAGAUACAUAUAUAUUUUGACAAAUAGAAGGCAUGUAUUGUGCAACGGAGGGAGUAGAAU